rnacentral:rRNA from 1 species
UACGUAGGGAGCAAGCGUUAUCCGGAUUUACUGGGUGUAAAGGGAGCGUAGACGGCAUGGCAAGUCAGAUGUGAAAGCCCGGGGCUCAACCCCGGGACUGCAUUUGAAACUGUCAGGCUGGAGUGCAGGAGAGGUAAGCGGAAUUCCUAGUGUAGCGGUGAAAUGCGUAGAUAUUAGGAGGAACACCAGUGGCGAAGGCGGCUUACUGGACUGUAACUGACGUUGAGGCUCGAAAGCGUGGGGAGCAAACAGG